CCUGCGGAAGGAUCAUUACCGAGUGUAGGGUUCCUAGCGAGCCCAACCUCCCACCCGUGUUUACUGUACCUUAGUUGCUUCGGCGGGCCCGCCAUUCAUGGCCGCCGGGGGCUCUCAGCCCCGGGCCCGCGCCCGCCGGAGACACCACGAACUCUGUCUGAUCUAGUGAAGUCUGAGUUGAUUGUAUCGCAAUCAGUUAAAACUUUCAACAAUGGAUCUCUUGGUUCCGGCAUCGAUGAAGAACGCAGCGAAAUGCGAUAACUAGUGUGAAUUGCAGAAUUCCGUGAAUCAUCGAGUCUUUGAACGCACAUUGCGCCCCCUGGUAUUCCGGGGGGCAUGCCUGUCCGAGCGUCAUUGCUGCCCAUCAAGCACGGCUUGUGUGUUGGGUCGUCGUCCCCUCUCCGGGGGGGACGGGCCCCAAAGGCAGCGGCGGCACCGCGUCCGAUCCUCGAGCGUAUGGGGCUUUGUCACCCGCUCUGUAGGCCCGGCCGGCGCUUGCCGAACGCAAAUCAAUCUUUUUCCAGGUUGACCUCGGAUCAGGUAGGGAUACCCGCUGAACUUAAGCAUAU
rnacentral:rRNA from 1 species